GACGAACGCUGGCGGCGUGCUUAACACAUGCAAGUCGAACGGAAAGGCCCUGCUUGCAGGGUACUCGAGUGGCGAACGGGUGAGUAACACGUGGGUGAUCUGCCCUGCACUUCGGGAUAAGCCUGGGAAACUGGGUCUAAUACCGGAUAGGAGCCAUUUUUAGUGUGAUGGUUGGAAAGUUUUUUCGGUGUAGGAUGAGCUCGCGGCCUAUCAGCUUGUUGGUGGGGUAAUGGCCUACCAAGGCGGCGACGGGUAGCCGGCCUGAGAGGGUGGACGGCCACAUUGGGCCUGGGAUCCGGCCCAGCCCCCUCCGGGGGCCAGCGGUGGGGAUAUUUGCACAAUGGGCGCAGGCCGGAUGAAGCGCCGCCCGGUGGGGAUGACGGCCUUCGGGUUGUAAACUCCUUUCGCUAGGGACGAAGCUUUUUGUGACGGUACCUAGAUAAGAAGCACCGGCUAACUACGUG
rnacentral:rRNA from 1 species